CGUAGCCCGUGGUGUUCCCACCUCCCCGGCGUGUGGAUGGAGUGUUCUCCUAGCAUUAUAGUGCCUGUGGUGAAUCUGGAGCUCCGUGCUUGCUGACUGCGAAGGGUCGCUGUACGGCCAGCGCCAGUGACGACCGCGCGCCCGAGAUGACUCUUUGCACGACGUUCUAAUUGCGAGACUGACAGAACGAGAGAGAUAAGAAGAGGACAAGAAAGAGGGAGGAAAACGUGUGAUAAAAGGGCAAGCGAGGGAGAGCGAGAGAGGAGAGAGCGAGCGCCUCCCGCUGUGGAUGCCCCCGGAAGGCCGAGGGGAAGGCGGCGAGGCAGGGCGCGGAGUGGGGAUGAUCGAGGCUACGAGGGGCGGCUCGGAGGAGGAUGGAUGACGUAAGCCGCUGGUAGGCCGCGGCCCCGAUGGCGUCACGGUGUGUCCGUCGCCCAGGACACGAGCAGCGUCUUCGAGAGAACCAGCGCCGCCGCCCGUAUGACCCUCGAUGACCGCCCCUGCGCCACCGCUCGCCUCCACUGUGUAGCGAACUCUUCCGGCCUCGUCCACUGACGCCGACGACAGAGAUGGGCGGCUUGAAGAGGGCGACCAGAUCCUGGCCAUUGACGGUCAGGUGUUGGACUCUUACAUCUCCCACCAGCAGGCUAUAGGCAUACUCCAGAAGGCUACACG